rnacentral:rRNA from 1 species
UGGCAGGUCAGCAUACUGCCGUGAAUAACGUUCCCGGGCCUUGUACACACCGCCCGUCACACCAUGAGAGUUGGAAAUACCCGAAGCCUGUGAGCUAACUUAAAGAGGCAGCAGUCGAAGGUAGAGCCAAUGAUUGGGGUGAAGUCGUAACAAGGUAAC